rnacentral:misc_RNA from 1 species
AACGGUCUAUACCUGCGGUACCUGCGGAAGGAUCAUUAUCGAUUUACAGCGGACUUCGGUCCUGUCUGCACCCUUGUCUUUUGCGUACUAUAUGUUUCCUCGGUGGGCUUGCCUGCCGAUAGGACACUUAUAAACUCUUUUGUAAUUGCAAUCAGCGUCAGAAAACUAUAAUAGUUACAACUUUUAACAACGGAUCUCU